GCAAAAGAAUGUGCAACAGGGGAGGUAAGAACGCCGUUUUCUGUAAUUGCAGACUUCGGAUGGUGAUGAAGUACUCAACGACGACAGAGAAUCCUGAUAGACUAUUUUAUGGUUGUCCACACUAUGAGUAUGGAAUCCAUUGUAAUUUUUUCUGUUGGGUUGAUGGAGGUGAAGAACCAGUUUGUGCAACACCCAUUUCAC